rnacentral:rRNA from 1 species
UACGAAGGGUGCAAGCGUUACUCGGAAUUACUGGGCGUAAAGCGUGCGUAGGUGGUCUGUUAAGUCUGAUGUGAAAGCCCUGGGCUCAACCUGGGAAUUGCAUUGGAUACUGGCAGGCUAGAGUGCGGUAGAGGGUAGUGGAAUUCCCGGUGUAGCAGUGAAAUGCGUAGAGAUCGGGAGGAACACCAGUGGCGAAAGCGGCCGACUGGGCCUUACCUGACGCUGAGACGCGAAAGCGUGGGGAGCGAACCGG